AGAUUGAACGCUGGCGGCAUGCCUUACACAUGCAAGUCGAGCGGCAGCGCGGGGGCAACCCUGGCGGCGAGCGGCGGACGGGUGAGUAAUGCAUCGGAACGUGUCCUCUUGUGGGGGGAUAACCAGUCGAAAGACUGGCUAAUACCGCAUGAGCUCGUAAGAGGAAAGCAGGGGACCCGCAAGGGCCUUGCGCGAGAGGAGCGGCCGAUGCCCGAUUAGCUAGUUGGUGGGUAAAAGCCUACCAAGGCGACGAUCGGUAGCUGGUCUGAGAGGACGACCAGCCACACUGGGACUGAGACACCGGCCAGACCUCGUACGGGAGCAGCAGGUGGGUAAUUUGGACAAGUACGGGGGAAACCUGGACUCCACGCCAGUCGCCGCGUGUGGUAGAAGGACGGUCCGUUCGGGUUAGUAAAGCCGUACGUUCGGAACGGAACGAAAGUCGGCGUACGGUAGUAAGUAAC
rnacentral:rRNA from 1 species